AUUGAACGCUGGCGGCAGGCUUAACACAUGCAAGUCGAGCGGUAACAGAGAGAAGCUUGCUUCUCUGCUGACGAGCGGCGGACGGGUGAGUAAUGCCUAGGAAUCUGCCUAGUAGUGGGGGAUAACUUGCCGAAAGGUAAGCUAAUACCGCAUACGUCCUACGGGAGAAAGGAGGGGACCUUCGGGCCUUUCGCUAUUAGAUGAGCCUAGGUCGGAUUAGUUAGUUGGUGAGGUAAUGGCUCACCAAGACCGCGAUCCGUAACUGGUCUGAGAGGAUGAUCGGUCACACUGGAACUGAGACACGGUCCAGACACCUACGGGAGGCAGCAGUGGGGAAUAUUGGACAAUGGGGGGAACCCUGAUCCAGCCAUGCCGCGUGUGUGAAGAAGUUCUUAGGAUUGUAAAGCGCUUUAAGUUGGGAGGAAGAGCAGUUAACUAAUAUUUGACUGUUUUGACGUUACCGACAGAAUAAGCACCGGCUAACUUCGUGCCAGCAGCCGCAGUAA
rnacentral:rRNA from 1 species